rnacentral:rRNA from 1 species
UGAGGAAUUUUGCGCAAUGGGGGAAACCCUGACGCAGCGACGCCGCGUGGAGGACGAAGGCCUUCGGGUCGUAAACUCCUGUCAGAGGUGAAGAAUGCCCGCAAGGGCUUGACGGUAACCUCAGAGGAAGCCCCGGCUAACUACGUGCCAGCAGCCGCGGUAAUACGUAGGGGGCAAACGUUACUCGGAAUUACUGGGCGUAAAGGGUGCGUAGGCGGCUGGGAAAGUCAAGGAUGAAAUCCCGUGGCUUAACUGCGGAACUGUCCUUAAACCUCCUAGCUUGAGGAUAAUCGAAGAGAACGGAAUUCCCGGUGGAGCGGUGAAAUGCGUAGAUAUCGGGAGGAACACCUGAGGCGAAAGCGGUUCUCUAGACUACUCCUGACGCUGAGGCACGAAAGCUAGGGGAGCAAACGG